AGUGAACGCUGGCGGUAGGCCUAACACAUGCAAGUCGAACGGCAGCACAGUAAGAGCUUGCUCUUACGGGUGGCGAGUGGCGGACGGGUGAGGAAUACAUCGGAAUCUACUUUUUCGUGGGGGAUAACGUAGGGAAACUUACGCUAAUACCGCAUACGACCUACGGGUGAAAGCAGGGGAUCUUCGGACCUUGCGCGAUUGAAUGAGCCGAUGUCGGAUUAGCUAGUUGGCGGGGUAAAGGCCCACCAAGGCUACGAUCCGUAGCUGGUCUGAGAGGAUGAUCAGCCACACUGGAACUGAGACACGGUCCAGACUCCUACGGGAGGCAGCAGUGGGGAAUAUUGGACAAUGGGCGCAAGCCUGAUCCAGCCAUACCGCGUGGGUGAAGAAGGCCUUCGGGUUGUAAAGCCCUUUUGUUGGGAAAGAAAAGCAGCAGGUUAAUACCCCGCUGUUCUGACGGUACCCAAAGAAUAGGCACCGGCUAACUUCGUG
rnacentral:rRNA from 1 species